CUCUUUGAAACACCAGUAUCUGAGCAAACCCAAGCUGGCACUUUGGGCUUGGUGGAGUGGUAUCAGCUUUGCCCAGGAGAAAAGCGACUCCAGAAGAGCCUCAUCCACCUUGAAGUUCCUGAUUAGCCUUCUCACUUUGCUGCCUUUCCUGCUCACAGAAACAACUGUUCUUCUAUGUAGUCCAGUGCACGAGCUUGAACACCAGGAAGAAGACAUACUUACUGGAUGGAGAUAUAAAACUUAGAGGAGCUGUAAUUGCACAUCGAUCAUCUUUGACUUUCCUACACUGACUGCUCAUAGUAAGUAAGAAAACCACAUUCCUUCUGUAAUAGUAAUUCUUGCUCCUCCUUUCCUCCUUGGGCAAACAAGUUAAAGCUUGACUAAGUGUAGCUGCUGGUCUACUUGGAAAAAGUUUGAGUCCUAACCAAGUGAUUCCAUGAGUGAGGUGGAUGCUCUGUGGAUGGAGGGGCU
rnacentral:lncRNA from 1 species